rnacentral:lncRNA from 1 species
GAUGGUUUCCUAAAAUCGUGAUAGUGGUUUGCUCUCGCCGAACAUCGUACAAUUGUCUUAUGUCUUCCCAUCGCCAAAUGUUAUUGGGUGUUUGUCAUGACAUAUAUAAAAGAAAAGAAAUGAAAUGAAAGGUAUAGACAGCAUGUUAGUAGGCCUCUUGAGGUAGUCUUUAAGGAGAUCAUUAAAGACAUCAGUCUCUCCUUUGAUCCGAAGUGUUACAAGAAAAUUUGUUGUCACCCUUUGAAGGCAUUUAUGAUGGAAGUAUGACAGACUAACCUCCUGAGACCAGUAGUAAAUGUAGGGGGCUCGGGUCUUCGAACCCGACCCACACUGAAGUUGGGUCGGGCUCAUAUUUGACCCGAGUGGGAUCCUUGUCGGGCCUGCGUUAUGAGUUGAGUUAUUGUUGUUAUCCUUGAGCCACAAUUAGUUAACUGAGGGUAUCAUCAGUCCGUUUAGAUUGCUUAUCCUCCACAAUUAGUUAACCUUUAGAAAUUAACUCUACGAUAACAGUCUUUAGCACCGUGUCCUUUAAACAAAUCUGACAUGGAGCUUUUCAUUGAAUCUUGAUGAGCAUAUAUAUAUAGUUCUUUCCUCUAGUUUCUAUGCUCGACUCAAUCUUUGACGGAGUAAGUGCGAACUGUAGCUCCUGAUCCAUUGGCAACAAACUCUUUAAUUGAAUAAGGGUCUUGGCGUGAUCAAAUAUAUCUAGUAGUAAUCGUGGAGAAAAAUGGUUGAUAAUCGAUUCCCAGACCACCCUGCAAGGUAAUUAGAACAAUCUGUGAAUCUUUAAUUUUAUCUCCAGCAGCAGCAAGUUUGUCCCUAGCAAUUGUAAUUUUCUUCAAAUAAUCUACCAUCGAUCGACAUUUGAUCUUUCUUGAUAUUUUGUAAUUGGAAUCACAGAUGCAAUAGCCUUGCUGUUUCUCUAUUCGAUGAGAACAUCUCGUUCAAACAUUUCUACACUUGUUUUCAUUUCUUUUUUUCUUUCUUCUUGAUUACUUCUUUUUUUUCUUCCUUCUUGAUUACAUCUUUUUUCAGAUCUGUUUAGAUCGAUCCUUAGUUUCUCAAAUCUUGUGUCGACUGACGUCGAUUCUUGUGUUGAUAACCUCUUUGAUUAUUAUUAUUUCAGGUUUAGGUUUCGUCUAUUUUCGAUGUGAUGGAAUUGUCUACGUCUCUUUUGAUAUCUUUAUGUUCGAUUGGUGUGGUGUGGUCCACGACUUAGAUCAAACAGAUGUCGUCUUUGGAUUUGGAUCAUUUUCUUGUAAAUGCAAGCUGAAAGGGCUGCUGGUUAAUUUUAGAGGAUUUAGUCUGACGGAUGAAAGCUGAUAGGAUCGUUUCUUAAUUUCAUGCUGUAUUUUCGAUCAAUAUGUACGUAUUUUCAUGUAUGCACUGAUUGGCAUAUGUUUUUGGUAACAUUGAACUCGACCUUUGCCAUGUUGGGUGCGCUCGCAUGCAUGGCAGGUCACUCUAAAUCCUAAUAAAAAAAAAGUUUUUUUGGUUUGGUUUGGAGAAGUUUUUUUUAUAUCCAUGGUCGAUCUUGGUGUUUCUUCAUUUUGUUAUUUAUUUGUAUUGCGUUCACAUCAUUGGAUCGUCUUUCAUUGGUUAUAUGAGUUACGUCGUUCGUUCAAAUUGUCUUGAGGUGCCCAUUAAUUUAU